rnacentral:rRNA from 1 species
CCUACGGGUGGCAGCAGUGGGGAAUAUUGCACAAUGGGGGCAACCCUGAUGCAGCGACGCCGCGUGAAGGAAGAAGUCUUUCCGUAUGGUAACUUCUAUCAGCAGGGAAGAAAAUUACGGUACCUGACUAAUAAUCCCCGGCUAACUACGUUCCAGCCGCCGCGGUCAUACGUAGGGGGCCAGCGUUAUCCGGAUUUACUGGGUGUAAAGGGAGCGUAGGCGGUUUAGCAAGUCAGAAGUGAAAGCCUGGGGCUAAACCCCGGGACUGCUUUUGAAACUGGUGAACUAGAUUGCAGGAGAGGUAAGUGGAAUUCCUAGUGUAGCGGUGAAAUGCGUAGAUAUCAGGAGGAACACCAGUGGCGAAGGCGGCUUACUGGACUGUAAAUGACGCUGAGGCUCGAAAGCGUGGGGAGCAAACAGGAUUAGAUACCCUUGUAGUC